rnacentral:rRNA from 1 species
UACGAAGGGUGCAAGCGUUAAUCGGAAUUACUGGGCGUAAAGCGUGCGUAGGCGGUUUGUUAAGUCUGUUGUGAAAUCCCCGGGCUCAACCUGGGAAUGGCAAUGGAUACUGGCAAGCUAGAGUGUGUCAGAGGAUGGUGGAAUUCCCGGUGUAGCGGUGAAAUGCGUAGAGAUCGGGAGGAACAUCAGUGGCGAAGGCGACUUCCUGGACCAGUACCGACGUUCAGGCACGAAAGCGUGGGGAGCAAACAGG